rnacentral:rRNA from 1 species
GUCUGUGGCCAUAGUACUCUGAACAAGCCCGAUCCCGUCUGAUCGCGGAAGCUAAGCAGGGUCGGGCAUGGUUAGUACUUGGAUGGGAGACUGCCUGGGAAGGCCAGGUGCAGUAGGCG